rnacentral:lncRNA from 1 species
UUGCUUUUGAGGGGAGAUGACUACACCUUGAACAUCGCAGCAGGAUGUGUAUGGUUACUUUUAGUGUUAGGUCGAGAAGGGCUCUCUUCCUCUCCUCUCCUCUCCUGUGUACACAGGGAGGCAGCAGGCUGGAGACUAGGCUACGCUGGCUGGGGCCUUUGGAGGGUUCUCUCUCCACCAGAAGCCCACCGCCAUAUUGUGACCUUCAGCCAGAGCAGACUGAAUCAGCAACAGUAGGAACAGAUUGAGUGACAGACACACCUGCAGAACAAGGAGAGGAGCCAGCAAACAACUACAGCUUCCAACAUCACACACAAAACAACAACCCUUUAAUAUUGUCCUCCUGCCAUCAUUCCCCUCUCCCAAAAUACACGGUGCCAUGGUAAUGGUGCACUCAUGGUUCCACUGGUCUAAAUGGAAUCUUUGGGACGUCCCAACUAUGACAUCACCCCAUUGAAGUUUAAUUUAAAAUGGUUAAAGUUAGGGUUAGGGUUAGGCUAAGGUUUGCACACAUCUCACCAAAUGUGGAUCUCCCGUUUGUCUACCAACUGUUCAGCGUGCUGUUGAUGUUUAACUGCAGACAUUUUCACUCGAUUCUACAUGUAAAAUUGGAUUGCACUCGGUUCGCAAGUACUCUCGGUAGGCAAAUGCUAUUGCUGUGUUCAAGCCCUUAGGAUUAGGAACUUUAUGUUCCUAGGGUUAGGGCACAGAGUUUCUAAACCCAGAAGCGCAACAUCGCGAGACUUCCGGGAAAACUUGCGAAACAGACUACAGUAGGCUUGAGUUUGGGGUUUAAAAAGUCAAUGAGACUUUUAGUUGCACAUUUUCUUGAAAUCUAAAGGCACAACUUAGAUUCGCUCCAAAGUCUUAAAUAGUUGUUAUUAUUACUCCAACCUCGUGAAAGUGACAAACUGACACGUUUUCAUUUUCGGCAAAAACAACUGUCACGUUCUGACCUUUAUUUCCUUUGUUUUGUAUUUAUUUAGUAUGGUCAGGGCGUGAGUUGGGUGGGCAGUCUAUGUUUGUUUUUCUAUAAUUUGGGUAUUUCUAUGUUUCGGCCUAGUAUGGUUCUCAAUCAGAGGCAGGUGUCAUUAGUUGUCUCUGAUUGAGAAUCAUACUUAGGUAGCCUGGGUUUCACUGUGUGUUUGUGGGUGAUUGUUCCUGUCUCUGUCUUUGCACCAGAUAGGACUGUUUAGGUUUUUCAUGUUUAUUGUUUUGUAGUGUUCAUGUGUACAUUUACAUAUUAAAAGAACCAUGGACACUUACCACGCCGCAUAUUGGUCCUCUGAUACUUUUCACCUCUCCUCUUCGGAAGAAGAGGAGGAAAGCCUUGACAACAACUUCAUAUCAAAGGUGCCUUUGAUGGCCUGCACAUGUGCAGUUCGGCG